UAUAUAGGAUUUAAAUUGCUUAAUCUCUUGCACCUGGUGAAGCUCUACAAUAUGUGAUUUUGACUAAAUUUGAUAUUGAAUAGGUUUAUAGAAGGUCAGUUUCCUGUUUUAAUUUCCUCUUCUAGGGUUGGUAGUUUCAAAUUUAUAAUUCAUAGGGGAUGAUUGAGAAUUUAGAUUGAGUUUUCGACUUUGAAAGUAACCUCUGAAAGGUAUUUAACCUAUAUAUGUGUCUUACUGCUGGAAAUAUAAUGGAUUAUUUAGGGGGUUUUUUUUCUGGUAUGCAUAAGGGUUUUAUUGCAUUUCUAAUGCAGUUCAGAUAUGGCAGACUUGAAGGUCGAUGCCAUACUCGAAUUUCUUAAAAAGAAUAAGUUUGCUAGGGCUGAAGCAGCAUUGAGUUCCGAGAUAGAUAAUCGCCCUGAUCUGAAUGGUUUGAUGCAAAAAACGUGAAAGUGGGUACCAGUACCGGUAUUUACCGGUGUUUUACCCAUAAAUACCGGUACCGUACACCGGUAAAUACCGGUACCAAAAAACGUGAAAGUGGGUACCAGUACAAGUGGUUCAGGAUAUAAUUCGUCUCUAAUGUUUCAUUUGCAUAAGUUUUAAAAGUAAUUUACAUGGAACUUCAGUUGCAAAAGUUUUAAAAGUAACUCACAAGGAACUGGAUCAAACGGGUUGAAAAUCAUAUAUAUAUAUAAAUUCAUGACGUUAAUAACAAUAAUUUUCCUAAUCCUCAUUUUUUAUCAAAACUUUUCAACCUUUUCCAUGUUUCCCAGGUAUUGCAGCUCAGGGAAAGGCUAUAAGACCAAGUUAGUGUGCGGGGUUCAUUUGAACAAGCAUUUUUAAAUGUUUAAUUCAAAAAAUUACCCAGGCCACCUCUGCCUUUUUUUUACAACAGUAAGUGUACAAGGAUGAGCCCAAAUUAUCGCUGGCUGGGCUUGUGAUAUUCAAAGUGAAGGAGAUCUGGUGUUUUAUUUGGAUGGAACGCAUGGUCUUGAAAGGAUGGACGUUUGUACUUAUUUAGGGCUAAAGUUUGAUUACUUAAGUUCAACUACUAUGUGAAACCAUGUCGUUUUAAACAUAAUAAAUAUGCUUUCUAGGUACUGCAUUAAUGGGUGACAACAUAUCUGAUGCAGCAGUUAUAUUUAUUGGCGCAACAAUCGAGUCCUUUGUGAAAACUACCUGCCCGAAAAUUAACCGCCCCUCAACUUGAAGAACUAAAACUAUCAACGACUGUUGUUGCACAAGGGUUUAACUGUUAAAGAGAUGGAAGAGCUUCAGGAAGACAUAAAAAUGCAUUUGGGGUUGUACCUUAUGAACUUAUCUCAGCUAAGGACUCCAUUAUCAGAACAAGUGAGCCUGAUGCUGAACCAAAGGGCCUUAUUGCCUUGGUUUAUGUUAUUUUUUCUUUGUUUGAUUUAUUAUAAGAUGCUGAUGAGUUCAAUCUUUUUGUUAGAUAGAUCCAAAAGUUGACUUGGUCAAGUUGAUUGACCCUAGGCUGGGGCUACUUUAUGGUUUCAGUGCAUCUAUGCAUUUUAGAUACUCUUUUUUAUGUACUAUUGUUAAUCAGUCUAACAAGUUUAAUGUAUAAUAG